CAUAUAAUGAGUUUAACAACACAUGAGCCGUCACAACAAACACAAGAACUUCCACCAUCUCAACUAUCACAUCACACACCACAGUAUGUUUUCAUUUUAGUGACUGUGUUUUCUGUAGUACUGUUACUGGCAUUUCUGGCAUUAUCUUCUAGAUAUGGAAAGGAUGAAGUGGCAUUUUCUGAUGUAGUCUAUGUUAAAACCUCAUUUACACCAGCUCAUGCACAGAAUGACCCAGUAGUGCUCCCUGAAUAUAUUAAUACCAAUGCAAAACAAACUUGAAAACAAGAUAUAUUCAUUUUUUUAAACCUCAGAAUUCAUAUUCACAGCGUUUGGUCUAGCAAUGGAGUUUAUGAACCUUGCAUUUUGAGAAAAUAAUGUAUAAAAAGCCAUGUUAUUCAAAGUAGCAACCACUAAAGAAUGAAAAAUAAUUCUUGCCUUUACUGUAACUGUAUGUAGAAUAUAUUGAAUCUAUCGCUGAGUGUUUUUGAGU